rnacentral:rRNA from 1 species
AUUGAACGCUGGCGGAAUGCUUUACACAUGCAAGUCGAACGGCAGCACGGGGGCAACCCUGGUGGCGAGUGGCGAACGGGUGAGUAAUACAUCGGAACGUGCCCAGUCGUGGGGGAUAACGUAGCGAAAGUUACGCUAAUACCGCAUACGAUCUAUGGAUGAAAGCGGGGGACCGUAAGGCCUCGCGUGAUUGGAGCGGCCGAUGUCAGAUUAGGUAGUUGGGGGGGUAAAGGCUCACCAAGCCGACGAUCUGUAGCUGGUCUGAGAGGACGACCAGCCACACUGGGAGUGAGACACGGCCCAGACUCGUGCGGGAGGCAGCAGUGGGGAAUUUUGGACAAUGGGCGCAAGCCGGAACCAGCCAUUCCGCGUGCAGGAUGAAGGCCCUCGGGUUGUAAACUGCUUUUGUACGGAACGAAACGGUCUGCUCUAAUACGGCGGGCUAAUGACGGUACCGUAAGAAUAAGCACCGGCUAACUACGUGCCAGCAGCCGCCGUAA